rnacentral:rRNA from 1 species
UGAGGAAUAUUGCACAAUGGGCGCAAGCCUGAUGCAGCGACGCCGCGUGGGUGAUGAAGGUCUUCGGAUCGUAAAGCCCUUUUUCUGCGUGACGAGACAGGACGGUAGCGCAGGAAUAAGUCUCGGCUAACUACGUGCCAGCAGCCGCGGUAAAACGUAGGAGACAAACGUUAUCCGGAGUUACUGGGCGUAAAGGGCGUGCAGGCGGUUUGGUAAGUCUGGCGUGAAAUCAUUCGGCUUAACCGGGUGAUGUCGUCGGAGACUGCCAGACUAGAGGGUGAUAGAGGCGUGUGGAAUUCCGGGUGUAGUGGUGAAAUGCGUAGAGAUCCGGAGGAACACCAGUGGCGAAGGCGACACGCUGGGUCACACCUGACGCUAAGACGCGACAGCAUGGGGAGCGAACGGGAUUAGAUACCCAUGUAGUCCCUGAGCGGGCUGGCAAGGCGCAU